CACACACACACACACACACACACACACACACACACACACACACACACACACACACACACACACACACACACACACACACACACACACAGAGGGGUGAACCUUUGGGCUAAAAAAAAAUGGCGGACGGAAGACAGGGUGGUGCGGCAGGUGCCGCUUCUCAUUCGAAUGCUGUAAUUUUAUCUAAACCAUCAGGUGUACGCCGACCCCAGCUAAGUAACUCAUGCAAAGAGUUAAAGCGCAAUUAUGCAUUUUAUCUCCAGUACUCUGCCAUGAUUGUCAGUUAUGUAGCUGCUCUACUGAUAAUCUCAGUGCGUCCUUGCAGGGAUGACACAAUCAGUCUACUACCAGAGAAUAUCAACACCAAACACAUUGGUUCACCGUUCCACGGGAGCGGACAGUACACAGCAUACCAUAAUGUUCUGAAUAAUGGUCAAGUCUACCUCGCUCCUUAUUCUACUGAACCGCUUAGGCGUAACAAACAACUCAAUCCUGUGCAACUCCAUCCUGGUUCCAACAUCACCGAGCCAGCGAUACGCACCGGAGUGGAAAGCGGUGGAUGGCCUCGUCCACUGAUCGUUGCUGCUGUGGAAGUGGAGAGCGAGCUGAUCAAGGGGUCUAAAAUGUAGAUAUUGCCAGGUGUUCACUGUCCGAGGGACAGGCCGUGGAAGCUUUAUUGCUGGCAAAAGUGUUCAUAACCAGAGGUAAUUAAACUGUUCUGUGUUCUUUUUCUCCAUAUCUGCCUUCCUUGUUGUAUAUGGAACCUGUCUCACAUGCAUUAAUUAAAAAACCCUUAUGGUGCCAGCUGCUAUUUUUCAGAUUUACACUACAUAGUCCAGUGAAAAUGGCUGUGUUUAUCUGUUGCUGCCAAGUCAUCAUUUCCCUGGGGGUUAGCCUUGCAAUAAUCAAGUGGUGAGACACAUAGCCCUCUAUAUUUAAAUGUUUCAGGUACACUCCGAUAGGUGUCUGCUUCACAUACAGUAUCUUCUAUUGUUUGUCAUCAUGUGUCUGUUUUUCAGCAUAAAGUACUCUGUAGCCACUUAGUGUGGACACCAGGUGAGAUCACACACACACACACACACACACACACACACACACACACACACACACACACACACACACACACACACACACACACACACACACACACACACAAUAACAGUCUCUCUUCUUCACUUCAUCCCUCUCCCCCUAAAUCCUCUAGGUCAUAUCAGCUGUUUUGGUGAACCUCUCCCACAUCUGAACUGGCUGACAGAGGGCACAGUAUGAUCAUAGCUGCAGACAUGUUUUGAUGUGAGAGAGGAAGCCAGUCCCAUCAUCGCCACCUCACCCGCUCUUAAGAUAACCUUCGGGCCAACUGGGGGCCCAAGGCUGGUUAGGAGACACCGCAAUUGUGAUGAACUGAAAGAAUAUUAGGGCAGCACUGUAAUUCACGAAUCACAUGCUGUCUGCGGCUGUUCUUACCUCUUUCCCUUUCUGUCUUCUACACCUCUCUCCCCACCUCAUCUUUCAUCCUCGUUUUAUAAUGCACACCAUAUGUGCAUUGAAGUACAGAUUGAACUUGAACUUGUAUUUAUAAUAUAAUAAUGUGUUUAUGUAUUUAUAGCACCUGGAUAAUGAACUUAUUUCAAUAAAGCGUGUCACAUUCUCCA